rnacentral:siRNA from 1 species
GAUAGGAGCCCAUACCACCAAGA